rnacentral:rRNA from 1 species
CCUACGGGAGGCAGCAGUGGGGAAUCUUCCGCAAUGGGCGAAAGCCUGACGGAGCAACGCCGCGUGAGUGACGAAGGCCUUCGGGUUGUAAAACUCUGUCUUCAGGGAAGAAGGAAGUGACGGUACCUGAGGAGGAAGCCCCGGCUAACUACGUGCAAGCAGCCGCGGUAAAACGUAGGGGGCGAGCGUUGUCCGGAAUUACUGGGCGUAAAGGGCGCGCAGGCGGUCUGUUAAGUCAGAGGUGAAAACUCCCGGCUCAACCGGGGGACUGCCUUUGAAACUGGCGGACUGGAGGGCAGGAGAGGGGAGUGGAAUUCCCGGUGUAGCGGUAAAAUGCGUAGAUAUCGGGAGGAACACCAGUGGCGAAGGCGGCUCCCUGGCCUACCCCUGACGCUGAGGCGCGAAAGCGUGGGGAGCAAACGGGAUUAGAUCCCCCUGUAGU